GAUUGCCCUUUAGGCUCUCCUUUCCACAUGUAGAGACUUGUUAGGCACAGACAAAGUCAGGUGGAAAGAGGAGAACAAACCCUCUUUUUUUAACUGGGGGAUGCUGUUUUUCUAGCCCUGACUCGUCUGAUUAACCUCACAUUCAUCCAGCCCUGGGACUGAAAAGCUCGUAUACGAUUGAUGAAAACCACAGCAAAUGAGCUCCCUUUGCACAAUGUCCUGGAGGCUGCAUAGCUGAAGCGAUGGCAGAUGAAUAAAUAGCAGGAUGUCCUUUCAACGGCAGAGCCCCUCAGCUGGGAAACCUUCCGUCAUUCCUGAGCUCAGCCUCUGGAAGCGACUGGAGGGAGAUGAACAGCACAACAGCACAAGCAGGGGGAGACCAAAUGGGACAUAAACACUGAAGCAGUCGGCAGGAGCCCAGGUUUGAAGCCUGACCUGUUUGCGCAGCCACAGCAGCACAAGGGAAGGAGCAGCUGUUACACCAUGGAACUGGGAUAUUCUGUAGCUUUGCUGUAAGCACAGAGACAUUACGGCAUCCUGGUGAGCUCAGCCAGCAAAACAGUCCACAGGUAAAGGUCCCACCUUUUCUUUGACAAAAAUAUUCCAGUAUUAAACUCCACAUUACGACAUCAGCUACCACAGGGCUCACUGUGACGCCUGUUCCAUAGCUACAGAAGGGCAUAACAUUAUGUAACAGCAGUUAGUGGAUUUAUGUAACUUAAAAUAUCUCAUAAGACUGGAAAAUGCAACCAAUGCUCAUCUAAAAAUGUUAUGAAAAAAUCUACAUCACAGAGCUCUGGAGCUCAUAAUUUUAAGAACUACCUCAAUGAAAAUCUGUUACUUCCACAGUCUUCAGGAAGACUGUGGGUGUACAGUGGAAUAACAAUUUUCAAGCUCAAAGACGUCAGCAUCUUUUCUAAACAAAAAUCAGCAUCACCACUGACCAGAGCAGGGCACCAUCCAGCCACCCUCCAAACAGGCCUUUGGGACUGCUUCCCAUCCCGUUCUUUCUGCAUUUGUGGGAUUGCUGAAAAAAGAAUUUCCUGAGGCUUGUGUUUCAGUGGAAUUGCUUUCACAUCUUUGAUAUUCCAAAUUUUCAACAUCCUUAAGAAAAAUACAAGUAUCUGAGCAAAGCCAGCAGGUCCUGUAGACAGCUCCCACUGCUGCUCAGGUAUCUUGGUUGGGCUUAAGACUCACUGUUGCCAUCAGCCAAUUGAGCAUAAUCCUGUUCUAGUAAACUGGGCAAGCCUCCACUGAGGAUACUUGUGGAGAAUACAGCCUAUUGGCACAUGCUGGGGUUGGAAGCUACAGAUGGGCUGUUCUGCAUCAGAGAAGGCAAGCAGGCCUCAUUCACAGCAGCCACCAGGAUCCUGCUGAGUGAGGAAAGCCAAAUUGUCAGACCUCCACCAACCUGAGUCUAUACUCUCCAGGGGACGGUACUUGUGUUUGAUUCUAACAUGCCCCAAUCAGCUGGCUCUUGCUACCAGUUUCUAUGAGGUCUAUUCAAGUCCAUUCAAUCUGCCAGGCCCCUGCAAAGUACCUACCCCAUCCGUAUGCACAGCAGCUACCAGAACAACUUUUAUAAUACUGAUUUUCUGUUGCUUUGGAAUUUGUGAAUAGAGGAUGAUUUCAGUGGAUGCUGCCACAGAAAUCGGGUAAGGCUGAGUGAUGGUUUCGGUGGGAACAGAAGCUGACUAAGACAGAGCAUGUUUUUAAAUCAAGCUCCAGAGGGUAAACCUAAAAUUGUUGUUUCUUCCACUGAUUUUACUGAAUAAAAUACAUCCCCUGUCAGGUCAUUGGAUUUAACAAAGCUUUUCUAAUUUUCUCCAGCAUUGAAGAUGUGGCCUACUGCUGUCAUUUUGUCACAUAUAGGACUAUCUAAUCACAAAGAAAUAACAAGAAGGUCUAGGUUCAUGAUGCAAUUAUAAACAUAUCUCGGUUGACAAGUCAAGUGCCCUAUGACGAAGCAACUCCACAACUCUGAUGGAAGAACAAGCCCAGUCCCCAGACCUAAACAGGAGCAGGCAAUAUCAGUUGUCCAGCUGCUCAUAUGCACACUCUGAGAGUCUCCAGAAAGUUCCCCUCUAACUUACCUUCCACAAAGUUUCUGUCCAAGACAGUUUCUGUCUUUCGAUAGAGCAGGGACACCAGCAUCUCUGUGCCUAGGGCUGCUGCCCUGAGCCAAGGAGCUCAGCCCCAGCUCCUCCCUCCUGCCUGAGCUGGAUCUAAUGUGGUAGGUCUACCUCUGUCCAAGGGACUUGCCAGGCUGACCUGGGCCUGCUUCAUCACCUCUCCUUGUCCAGUGACUGCUGGGCUGUGGCCAGAACCGGUUACUAUCACCAAACUGGCCCUGUUUGGGCUUACCUGACCAAAACACUCGAGUAUCUGGUGACACAGUAAGUGAAAUCUCAGACCGACUGUGCCACCCACUGCUGUUUCACUCAGCCCACCCUAUACUGCACAUUGUCAAACUGCUCCAAUAGCAGAGCUGCCUUGUUCAAAAAGCAGCUACUUCUGCAGUCGCUGCACGCUAACAAGGAUGACCAAGCCUUGUCUGGGCUUUUUAUGCUUCAAAACAAACCAUGGUUCCACGUAUCAAGGAGUAAAAUAAAGAUGCUGAUCCUCCUGUCUAACAAUUUUACAGAGAACUCCAGCGUGUCUACUUUGAAGCUAAAAGUUAUGCUUAACAUAAAGACACUUUUCUGAUGAAAUUAAAGAGGCAAACAUCUUUUGGACAAAAUGUGUUAAGUCUUCCACUCCUUGUUAACUAGCACAGCUUGAAGACUUGCACAUAGAGGAAGCUAUGUCUCUGCCAAUGGCUAGUCUACUCAGUGGAUGGAUUUGCCACAUUUUCAGACUGAAUGAUACAUACUCCCCUACCAGCAAGUUUCACUGACCUAAGCAUAAUUAUUUGCAAAUAUAACACUACUCAAUUCAAUAAUUGCAAAAAUCUGAUUCUAACCAAACAAAUCACAUUUUUACACCAGAAACAAGCAAUUAACCUAUAUAGAACACACAAAAUGGGAAAAUUCCAACAAAGUGGUUUGGGAAAACAGGAAUUUAAACUGGCCAUUAGUUUAAUUACACCUAUUGAAGAGGUGUUCCUUUUGGAGAGACAGUAUUUUUUCUUUCUUACUUUCCUCGUCUUGAAGUGUAGAUAGCAUUUAAUUACUUUAAUAUGUGAUGGACAAAGAAACAUUAUUGCAAUAAAAAUAUAUAAAAAUUUAACUUAAUUUUAACUUGUAGAAAUGCAUGAAUUGAACCAGCUAAGAUUUGACCCUGGGGUCCAUGAGUGAACGGCCAUUUGAUGCACUGGAAUGGUUUCCCGUGUGCUAUGCAUGUGUAUGUAGCUGUCAGAGCUAACUCAGUUGUCGUCUUAUAACUGCAGAGAUCCUGCUCCUGGGCUCGCUGAGAGAAGCUGCCCUUCCUCUUGGAGCAUGUGGUGGGGCUAGAGCGGGCAAGCGCACACUGCCGCUGCUGUUCCGCUUACCGGAGCAAGCAAUUGUUGCUGACACCAGGAGGUCCAUGAGAAUGAAAGGGAAACAACCACCAAGGCACUCUCCAGCAGAGACUGAUGAUCAAGUCAUACAGAGAACACCCUCAGUCAUGCACAACCUCAUUGCAUGGACACAAACUUUUCUAUCCAAACCUCUUCAGUGCCAAGAGGAUCAAAUGGAUGCAUAAUGAAGAUAAUCAGAGCCAGGGAAUCUCACAAUGAAGGAUAACAGUGUGUUCCUUACUAUGCUGAAAUUCCUGACCAAUACUUGAAGAGCACAUGCCUUUCCAAGAGCCUUUUCCACAGGUACAGGACAGAAUGCACCUACAUUCACUCUACAUCACUCUAAUUUCACCAACACAGUGUUUCUGAAACUUUUUCAAGGAAUAAAUAAAUAUCAACCC